rnacentral:rRNA from 1 species
UGUUAUACUUUACUGAAAAUUAAUAUAUGCUUGAGUAGUAAUCAGUUAUGUUCUUGAAACUUAAAGGAUUUGGCGGUAUUUUAGUCUAGUUAGGGGAACCUGUUUUAUAAACGAUAAACCACGAAGUAUCUUACCUUUCUUGGUUAAAUCAGUAUGUAUACCGUCAUUAUUAGAUGGUCUUUAUAAAGAGCCAUUAAAAUAGUUCUAUGUUAAAAUAUUAGAUCAAGGUGCAGCUUAUGGAGGGGAAAAUAAUGGGUUACAAUGUUGUUAAAAUAUACGGAUAUAUGAUUGAAUGUUGUGUAUGAAGGUGGACUUAAGUGUAAUUAUAUUUUAAUAAGAUAUAAUGAUAUUAGCUCUAUAAUAUG